ACUGUGUGGCAUGCGGGAUCUUAGUUCCCCAACUCCCUGCCCAGGGAUCAAACCUGUGCCCCCUGCAGUGGAAACAUGGAGUCUUAACCAUUGGACUGCUAGCAACACCCCCCGACCCCCGACUUUUUGAUCGACUCCGCCUCUCCCUGUCCCUGGGGAACAACGCGAGGAAGGGCUCUUCGAGUCACACGAAUACCGUGCGCACACACAGGGGCCGAGCAGGCGCCGCCAAUAUCGCCUUCCCUGCCCCAGACGCUUUCAUCACCGACAGAUGAGCUGCUUGCUGCCACGAAGGGCUCGGAUAACAAAAACUCCCUCCGCGCCGCCUUUGUUCUCCCCUCACUGUUCCGCUGCGCCCUGGACGCGGUUCUGGCUGGGCUCCUGCAACCCGCACUGCGGCGGCGGCCGGGCUCAAGGAUUUGGGGCAAAUCUCCACCUCGCAAAUAAAGCGUAAAGCUCCACUGAUCCAAACGAGUUGUAAAGGAAGACGGGCUUAAGAUUUUCCAAGUAGACCCUGGGAGGCUGACCCCACCCAACGGUCACAAAGAGCCGGAGAAAACAUUCUUACCAUAGUUGCUGUUUUGUGGCUGCCGAGCAGAUGGCGGAGAGGAGGAGGAGAGGUUGUUGCUUCUUACAGCGCGACUCUUAGGCGGUCGAUGUAAGAGAACCUGCGGCACAUGGGCGGAUGCGGCUCCCUAUAUACAACUCGGUCACCAUGGGGAUGGGCUGGGGCCUUUUCCUGUUGGUCCAGACCCCUCAAUCUGCCCAGAGAAGCCACGACAGAAGAGUGGUGAUUGGUGCAAGCGACAUGGGAUGAGGGUUCAGCACUGAUCAAGGUAUUGAGUGAAUUGGCUCUCACUAAGUAUGGCCUUUAAAAACUAUCUGCUGCAUUCCCCUUGGUAAAAUUUCAAUGGUAAGGUCUAGGAGGUGCUUUACCCAAGUCUACUGAUGGAAUCUGACAUUUGGAAAAAGGGGACAAAACUUGAAGAGGCUCAAAGGCAUCCUGAGAAGAGAAGAAAGAGAAAGAAGUGUAAAAGACAGUAGAUGUUGAUCCCAAGGACAAGCUUCAAUAAACACUGUGCAUGCACUAUUUACAAUAGUCAAGACAUGGAAGCAACCUCAAUGUCCGUCGACAGAUGAAUGGAUAAAAAAGAUGUGGUAUAUGUAUAUACAAUGGAAUACUACUCAGCCAUAAAAAAAGAAUGAAAUAAUGCCGUUUGCAGCAACAUGGAUGGACCUAGAGAUUAUCAUACUAAGUAAGACAGAGAAAGACAAAUACGAUAUGAUAUCAUUUAUAUGUGGAAUCUAAAAUAUGACCCAAAUGAACUUAUCCACGAAACAGAAACAGACUCACAGACAUAGAAAACAGACUUGUGGUUGUCAAGGGGGAGGAAGAGUGAAGGAGGAAUGGAUUGGGAGUUUGGGAUUAGCAGAUGCAAACUAUUAUAUAUAGAAUGGAUAAACAAGGUCCUACUGUAUAUAGUACAGGGAACUAUAUUCAAUAUCCUGUAAUAAAGCAUAAUGGAAAAGAAUAUGAAAAAGAAUGUGUGUGUGUGUGUGUGUGUGUGUGUAUAACUG